rnacentral:lncRNA from 1 species
AUGGAAGUCUGGCCCCAGGACGCUAUGACAGCAAGGUGCACUGGGCUGGGCCUGCAUGCCAAGCCUUACCCACCCACUCCAGGAAGUGCCAGCCGAGCUCGCCCUCCUGCCGCCCGCUCUGGCCACGCCGUGACCAGAAGCCUUGGACCAGCAGCUGCAGGCAGCUCCCAGGGGAAAAAUCCAGCUCAUCUCUCCGGUCCUGUUUUCCCUUACGAGCUUUUUUUCUUCCCCGAGAUGCCCCCAGGCAUGGCACUGCUCCUGCCAUCUGCGGCAGCUCAGAGACGGCCCCUGCGGGCAGGAGGGCCGGGCACGGCUCCCGGAAGCCUCGGCGGCCAGCCAGCCACCUGCAGGACAAGCGAGCCACGGGCAAUCACCACCCCAGAGGCUAGCGGGAACUAAUCAGCCACAUGCAACCCAUAGCCAUCCGGCCAGACAGAGCUGGC